GACGAACGCUGGCGGCGUGCCUAACACAUGCAAGUCGAGCGGAGUCGAUCGACGGAAGCCUUCGGGCGGAAGAUGGUUGACUUAGCGGCGGAUGGGUGAGUAACGCGUGGGCAACCUGCCUCGAAGACCGGGAUAACAGCCCGAAAGGGCUGCUAAUACCGGAUGUGGUCAAGGAUCCGCAUGGAUUUUUGAUUAAAGGGGAAACCCGUUUCGAGAUGGGCCCGCGUCCUAUCAGCUAGUUGGUGAGGUAAAAGCUCACCAAGGCGACGACGGGUAGCCGGCCUGAGAGGGUGACCGGCCACACUGGAACUGAGACACGGUCCAGACUCCUACGGGGGCAGCAGUGGGGAAUCUUCCACAAUGGGCGAAAGCCUGAUGGAGCGACGCCGCGUGAGCGAAGAAGGCCUUCGGGUUGUAAAGCGUCUGUCUGGAGGGACGAAGGAAGUGACGGUACCUCCGGAGGAAGCCACGGCUAACUACGUG
rnacentral:rRNA from 1 species